CGAGGGUCCGAGCCGGGCUGGGCCGUGGGCGGAGGCGAUGGAAGGCUACGCUAGGGCGAUUCGCCGCUCCGCCUGCCUUCGCAGAGCCUGAGCUCGACCAUGGAGCAAUAGCGAUAGCACCCCCCUCGACGCCGCCGACGCCGCCACACCCACUUCUCUUGUCUGGCGGUGACAAUGGAGCUGGGGCCGGCCGCCGGGCAGCCGGCGCAGCAGUAUCCCCACCGCCCCCAGGCCCCGUCGGGCGGAGGUCCCUGCCCGGAGAUGCUGCAAGUGGCCGAGGAGGCUUUCCGAGGCGGGCAGUUCGCGCUGGCGGCCGAGAUCCUGAGCUCGCAGCUGGCCGAGCUGCCGCAGCCCGAGCGGGGCCUGUGCCUCCGCCAAGGGGACGCGCUAGCCCGCGCGGGGCGCAUGGCCGAAGCGUUGGACUCGUACAGCGUCGCCGCUAGACUGGCCCGCUUGCGGCCCGAGGAGUUGCGCGAGCUGACGGAGAGUUUCGCCCUCCUCGUCCGCGACAAAGAGCUGCGGCUGCCUCCCUGGCAGGGGCCUGGAAACGGCGGCGGGGGCACCCCGGAGGCGGCUGACCCGCUGGGGGACCCCGCUUGCUGCCGCCCUCCGGAGCCGCUCUGCUGCCCUUCGUGCCUGCGUCUCCUCCACGAGCCAGUGACUCUGCACUGCGGGCACACCCACUGCAAGCGCUGCGCCCGGAGCGGCGGAGGGCAGUGUGUCCGCUGCGCCGUCCGGCGUUCCGGCUCCGCCUGUGCCUCUGCCUCGGUCCCCAGCACGGCGAGCCAAGCCCCCGCCGGCCUCCGCGUCAACGUGGUGCUGGGCGGCUUGCUGGAAAAAUGGUUCCCGGCCGAGAACAGAGCACGCCGGCUGUGCGCCGAAGGGGAUGCCUUGCGGGAGAAGCAGGAUCUGGCGGCCGCUUUGGAGAAGUACAACCAGGCCCUGGAACUCGCUUCUUGUAAAGGUUUGUUAAUAGCACAACGGGCAGAACUUUGUACAGCUAUGAAGAAUUAUCAACAAGCCCUUUAUGAUGCAGAAGUACUCUGCCAAAAUAAACCCCAUUGGCCUAAGGGUCACUAUGUCAAAGCACAAGCUCUUUCUGGAUUAGGAAGGAUUGAAGAAGCAUUGAAGGAAUUUCUUUACUGUGUUGCCUUAAAUCCUGAGUGGAACUCAAUGAAGAUGGAAGCCCAAAAGAUAAUGUGUGAGAUGUUUUUUCCAGCAUUUGAAAAUGUUCAUGAUAGUUUAACAACGCCUUUUUGUAAUCGGACCUCUUAUACAAGAUUGAAACCUGCAUUUCUUAGUAGCAUAAAUACACAGUCUUCUAGUGAAGAUGGGCCAACAGCAGAGAGCUCAAAGGAGACAAUCCUGAGGUUAACAAGAAACCCUUCCCAAGAGAGUGAUGUGUAUCGUUGUAUUGAUUCUUCAAUUUCCCAUCAUGAUUUCUACUUUGAAGAGAACAAGAAAACAUUAGGAAAAGUCCUCUCCAGCCUACCCAGUGCAAGCUUGAAAAGAAAAUUUUCUAGUGAUGUGGGAGACCUACAGAACCUGGAUGUCCCUAGCAAAAUUCCUAGAAAAGAUGGAGAUGCUACUUGUGGAAACUCAGCUUCUCUUCCCAUAAAAGAGAUUCCUACAAAUCUCAUGGAUGCAUCUGACUUUGAGUGUUCCCUUUGCAUGAGGUUAUUCUAUGAACCUGUCACUACUCCUUGUGGACAUACGUUCUGCCUCAAAUGCCUUGAACGUUGUCUGGACCAUAAUCCCCACUGUCCGCUUUGUAAAGAAAAGCUGUCAGAUUUUUUGGCAAGUCGGACUUACAAAAAGACCAUCCUUACUGAAGAAUUAAUAGUUCGAUACUUUCCAGAAGAAUUAUCUGAAAGGAAAAAGGUUUAUGAAGAAGAAAUGAAGGAAUUAUCAAAUCUAAAUAAAGAUGUUCCCAUUUUUGUGUGCACCAUGGCUUUCCCUACCAUCCCUUGUCCUCUUCAUGUCUUCGAGCCCCGUUAUCGAUUAAUGAUAAGAAGAUGCAUGGAAACGGGCACUAAACAGUUUGGCAUGUGUUUAACUGAUGAACUGAAAGGGUUUGCAGAUUACGGCUGCAUGUUGGAGAUCAGGGAUGUGAAGUUUUUCCCUGAUGGGCGCUCAGUUGUUGAUACAGUUGGUGUUCGGCGUUUUAGGGUCUUAAGCCAUGGUCAGCGAGAUGGAUAUAACACUGCAAACAUUGAAUAUUUGGAAGAUGAAAAGGUUGAAGGGGCAGAGUACGAAGAGCUUGUCCGCAUUCAUGAUUCGGUUUACGAUCAAGCCGUUUCCUGGUUUACUUCUCUUAAAGACAAUAUGAAAGCACAAAUUUUAAGCCAUUUUGGACCAAUGCCAGGGAAAGAACGUGAGCCACAGAGUAAUCCCAGUGGUCCAGCUUGGUACUGGUGGCUGUUGGCAGUUUUGCCACUAGAGAACAGGGCUCAAUUGGCCAUUCUUGCCAUGACUUCACUUAAAGAUCGACUCAUUGCCAUUCGCCGCGUAUUAAUAUUUGUGACCCUCAAAAGACCCAGAUGACACAGUCUUAUUUGUGAAGACACACUGAAAACAACUGGUUUCUAAUGCUAAUAAGAACACAGUUGGCAACUGAACAGUUCUUCCCUCUGCUCGUCUAAGCAUUCUUUUUUGCACACUCUGGACCCAAUAGUUAAUCAAGUAUUCUGUGCCUCUUGUCCUGGAAUAAUCUGAGCCUCUCGGAAGUUGUGCCGCAACUGCAACAUAGCAUACAGUACUUGCAGGCACCAACUGAGUAUAUAAUCGCCAUCUACUUAUCAAGAUGAGACAGCUGAGUCAGAAGCACUAAAAUGUCUAGAAAUCCCCAGUUGACAUUUUUAUUUCUUUGUAGCAAGGAAACAGGACUUGGAGUACUGUAGUGGAUUAGAAACUGAGAAUAUGUAUUGUUAAAAUAUUCCUCACGGUAACCUGUUGAAGAGAAAUUAUCAAGUGUUCCUCUGAAAGAAUGCACCUUUUUAUCUGCAACGUGUGGACAACAGAAUCAGAAGUAAAUGGGGUUGCCAGGAUAAAAUGUUCCACUUCCAAAGAACACUGUCCUAAAGGGUAUCCGAUGAACAGCUUUGUAGCUGAUUAUAAACCAAUUCCUUGUGUUUGUAAUUUGCAUGCUGUAUGUAUUGAGAAGAAUGUUUCAAAUAUAUAUCUAAAAAGUUUGAGUCAUUCUUCCCUCCCAAACCCCUUUUCCUUCAGAAUGACAUCAGGAACCUACAACAAGGAAAGAGUUACCUGUAGGCAGCCUUGCAGUUGGGACAUGGAACUAACAGCCUCCCAUAGUGGACAUAAGUGUGUCUUAGGGAAAGCUUCUCGCUGCCAUUACAAUACUUGAGAUUGUGAAGCUCUGUGGCUGGAUCAUGGCCAGCAUGUUUAGUGUAUAUCUACUCUGUUAAUUUCAAGCUCUUCAGUGAUUAUCUUACUAAAGGCUGUUGAAGAAUUGAAACACCAUUUCAAUUUUAUCCUUCUAGUUUUGUCUAGAAGUAACACUUCAGUAAAAUCCAUCUUUACUCACAACUGCCAUACCAGCCUGAUAGGUUCUUCUAAGAAAACAUAGUUCCAUAUACUUUUGAAAACCAAAACCUUAAUAUUACUUGUUAUGUACCGAAUACUGUUCGUGCUUGAAGUUCUUGCUGACAUGAGAGGAGACACAAAUGGAAUCCUGUACUGCAAAUUUCAAUGCAAAUUUCAAUCAGAUGUAAAUAUAUCUGUAUUUGAUGUCUUCAUAUGUGUUGCUAACUUUUUAAAAAUGGUUGAAUUAUUGGAAAUAGUUUAGUAGUUUAGUUGUAAAAAUGAAACAGCAAAACAGUAUUGCUAAUUCAAAUUGCUGGGAUCUCUGAAUUUCCAGAAACAAUUGAACAGGAUGUGAUGAUAAUAGUGGUUCAGGUUUCAGAACAUGGUGCAAAGACAAGGAAAGCUAAAAGUUACUAGGUGUAAAAAAAAAAAUAAUAAUCUGGCAAGAAAAUAAUGACAAUACCAAAAUAUUUCAAAAGUGCCUCCUUUAUGAAUUAGAAACAGCAUGUACUCUUUGGACAAAGGCAUAAAAAUUUCAAUGUAUACAGAAAGUAUAAUCAUCUAUAAGACUGAUUUUAGUAAGUGCUAUAAUUGUGUGGUAUUAGAAGAUUGUCUAAAGAAUCUUGAGCGGAUAGCAGUUUCCUAAGACAUGAUCAACACAGCGUGAAUGUACUGUAAUUGCUUCUUCUUUGAAUUUACCUUUUGUAGUUAAAUAUUGAUCUGUGACUGCUCUUUUAAUUGUAAACUGUGCAACUUGCAAAUGAAGCUCUAAUAAUUUCUGCCAUAGCCUUCCUGCAAGUUCUAAUACCUUUACCAGAGUUUGUAGAUUCUCUUUCAAGUAUUUUUAGGAAGUUUGCACCUGGCUAAACUUGGUUGAUCUUGAAUGCUAAACAAGGUCAGGCCUCAUUACUACUUGGAUGGGGGACCAUCUGGGAGCUCUAAGGCUGUAGAUGAGACCAGGAAAUUAAAAAAAAAAUGCCAGAAGGAGACCAUGGCAAGCCACUUCCGUGUCAUGCCAAGAACACCGCAUCAAUUUCUCCAGGUAGUCCCCAGGAGUCAAGCGUGACUCAAGGCGACGUUACCUGUUUUAGCAUUAAAGCCAGAGAGACGGAGGGUCGCACUCUCUUCUCCUUUCUAUCCGUUCCUUGGGUGCUAUCACACUUUCCUUCAACACAGCUGUCUUCCUGUUCAUUCACUGGACUUCAAAAGCUUCCAAGUUUUACCAAGAAAGAGGUUUUUCAAAAUGAGCCUCAUUAGUUUUUUUUGCAGGGAACUUGGACCACCUUCAUUAUUUUUCACAGUAUUUUUAGCUGUGAUUGCUUGGAAUGUCUCUGGCAGGAUUUGGGUUUACCUCCUGUUUUUCUCUCUCUCUUUUCUCUUCUGUUACUAAUUGAAGUUAGAGAGCAAUUCAGCAUAAGUACAAACUAGUUUGUUCCUAAGUUAACUGUUCGGGCGCUUCCCAUUUUUGAGGCAGAAUCCUCUGUACCAAUGUUGAGAAACACUGCUCUAUACUAUCCCUGGGAUUCUCAUCUGCUGCUGCCUUUUGGAUGAGGAAUUUUGUGAGAGUCUUCAACUUGGUACUGUUACCCUUUAAAAUCAAAAGCCAGGCUGACAAGUCUUUCAACCAUCAGAGCUUGGUCCCUCCACAGACACAUUAACAUAAGCUUAUGAAGAAAGCCAGAAUUUUAAAGUUCUUUUCUUUCUCUUAGGCUGAUCAAUCUGGCAACUUUUAGAGAACUGAGGAUUACAAUAUCCUCAUUGUCUAAAAUGCUUUGCAGAAAAAUAUUCAAGACAUUAUUUUAUCGAGUCUAACAGGGCUGAAAAGGUAUCCCAGCCACUCCUAUAAAAAGCAAACGUGCAAAAACCUGAAUUCCAUAAUAGGUCUGCUUCCAAAUAAUAGGUGAAGCUUAUUCCUUUUUAAAUUUUACAACUCGUGUGAAUUAUUUGCUACAGUGGCCUUUAUCUACUGUUUUCAAAUAUCCUUUUUUCCUUUCAGUUGCUAAGGGUGCUUUGUGAUUCCGGUAAGCUGAUAAUCAGCAGAUUUCUGCUCUUUUGAUUCAUGCUGCAGUUAAUUUUCAACGAAAAGGAAUACGAUUUGCUCAUAAAACUGUAUGAAUUAGUCAUACAGCACCUUGCAUAACCGAAGGCCUGGUGUUUGGUAGCGCCUUAAUUUUGCAGCACUAGAAUGAUUGUAUCAACAAAGCACCAUAAAAACAAAAUCUGGAGCUUAUGACCAGUUUUAAAAAAAUAUUUAAUGUAGAUAAAACUUGAAACAAAUAUCCUUAUGUUUUGAAACUAGUUGACGUGUGUAUGUGAAUAAGUGUACAUGGUUGUACAUGUGUAAAUAUAAAUUAUUCCUCACUUUUUAUACUUAGUAAAACAAAAGUCAGGUAUGUGUUACGGCUAUGUUUGGCACUUCGUUGCAUAAAACCAAACUUUUUUUUAAAAAAAAAUUGCUGCAAUGUUCUUUUUGUGUAUAUUUGGAAUAUCCAUGGGAAAAUGUAUUUAUGUGACAUUUCAAAUAAAUAAUUUCUGUUUGC